CUCAUAUGGUGUUAUGUUUUGGAUUUAUGACCAAACAAUGUUAAUAACUGAACAGUGCUAACUCAGCAAAAAAUUUUUUUCUCACUCUGGUACCCCAGUGAGUCAACUACGAGUGGGCAAGUGGCUGAAAGGUGACAGGGCUGACAUAUUGCAUCCAAACAGACAAAAGGAAUAUGCUAUAGCAUAUAAUGUCACGUUCAGCAGUAAAAGCUGGAGACAGGGGUUGAAUGGCAGUGAGUUUUAAGGUCUCUAGUGCUUAGAGACUGAAUGUGGAUCAAUUUGUGACUUGAGUGCGGGGGACUGAGCAACCUGUAUGAGGCUUAGCUGCCUACAAGUGUUAAACCACAACAGAUGUUGGUGGUCAUCUCAUGCAUUGGAGACAUGGAGCAGAAUCACUUAUGAAAAAGAAAUCACAAAAAUAUAGCAGCCUUUCUGGGUAGUGUGAUGGAUUCAAGCACAUCAUUCUCUGCCUGUCUUUCACAGCACCUAACAUGUAUGUCAAUGUUCCCAGUAUGGUUUGCAGAGACAACACACAGACAAACUGUGUCAGAACAUUUCAGCAACCCUGUUCCUGAAAAUUGCUAAGUGAUAAAGUCAAGACUGAUCCUUAAGAAAAUCCACAAAUUACCAUCUUCAUGACCAACACCUUCUCUUUCUAAAUAAACACAUUUUUUUUGCCUCUA